rnacentral:lncRNA from 1 species
GACAAGUAGAGACGGGGUUUCACUAUGUUGACCAGUCUGGUCUUGAACUUCUGACCUCGUGAUCCACCUGCCUCCCAAAGUGCUGGGAGUACAGGCGUGAGCCACCACGCCCGGCCUGAGACGGCUUUCCAAGACUGCAGAAAUGAAGUCUGCAAUAGCAUAUCCUCUUUGCCUGGGUUUGCACAUGAUCCAGCAAACAACCCACGAACCCGUUGCCUCAUCUGAGACAUCCUCAGGGAACAGCAAGUCUCGCUGUUCUUGGAAGGGACUUCCAGCCUGGAAAGAGAAGGAGGUGUAAGAGAGC